rnacentral:tRNA from 1 species
GGGAAAGUGGCUCAAUGGUAGAGUGCUUGCCUUGCAUGUAUGAGGCCCUUUUCUU